rnacentral:rRNA from 1 species
UUAAAUUGAAGAGUUUGAUCAUGGCUCAGAUUGAACGCUGGCGGCAGGCCUAACACAUGCAAGUCGAACGGUAACAGGAAUCAGCUUGCUGAUUCGCUGACGAGUGGCGGACGGGUGAGUAAUGUCUGGGAAACUGCCUGAUGGAGGGGGAUAACUACUGGAAACGGUAGCUAAUACCGCAUAACGUCGCAAGACCAAAGAGGGGGACCUUCGGGCCUCUUGCCAUCGGAUGUGCCCAGAUGGGAUUAGCUAGUAGGUGGGGUAACGGCUCACCUAGGCGACGAUCCCUAGCUGGUCUGAGAGGAUGACCAGCCACACUGGAACUGAGACACGGUCCAGACUCCUACGGGAGGCAGCAGU